GACGAACGCUGGCGGCGUGCUUAACACAUGCAAGUCGAGCGAUGAAGUUCCUUCGGGAGUGGAUUAGCGGCGGACGGGUGAGUAACACGUGGGUAACCUGCCUCAUAGAGGGGAAUAGCCUUUCGAAAGGAAGAUUAAUACCGCAUAAGAUUGUAGUACCGCAUGGUACAGCAAUUAAAGGAGUAAUCCGCUAUGAGAUGGACCCGCGUCGCAUUAGCUAGUUGGUGAGGUAACGGCUCACCAAGGCGACGAUGCGUAGCCGACCUGAGAGGGUGAUCGGCCACAUUGGGACUGAGACACGGCCCAGACUCCUACGGGAGGCAGCAGUGGGGAAUAUUGCACAAUGGGGGAAACCCUGAUGCAGCAACGCCGCGUGAGUGAUGACGGUCUUCGGAUUGUAAAGCUCUGUCUUCAGGGACGAUAAUGACGGUACCUGAGGAGGAAGCCACGGCUAACUACGUGCCAGCAGCCGCGGUAACAC
rnacentral:rRNA from 1 species